ACGCUCGACACCUACUGGAGGCAGCAGUGGGGAAUAUUGCACAAUGGGGGAAACCCUGAUGCAGCGACGCCGCGUGAAGGAAGAAGUAUUUCGGUAUGUAAACUUCUAUCAGCAGGGAAGAAAAUGACGGUACCUGACUAAGAAGCCCCGGCUAACUACGUGCCCGCAGCCGCGGUAAUCUGAGCGGGCUGGCAAGGC
rnacentral:rRNA from 1 species